CAGCCCAGAUUGAUUUGGAUGCAGACCUGAAUGAGGAGGAGAGUGAAGAUUUGGAUGCAAGAAGCAUCCAGGAUGGGUCUGAAGAGGAGAACAAGCUUGUGGAUGCGAUGUUGGAGGUUAAGAGGGAGCUUGAGGCCCAGACUGAUUUGGAUGCAAACCUGAAUGAGGGGGAGGAGAGUGAAGAUUUGGGUGAGUAAC